rnacentral:tRNA from 1 species
GCACCCUUAGCUCAAUUGGAUAGAGUACCUGACUACGGAUCAGGAGGUUAGAGGUUCGAUUCCUCUAGGGUGUA